rnacentral:lncRNA from 1 species
GACGAAGAGCUGGAAUAGAGCUCGCCUCGGCUCUGCUGGCCUUGGCUGCAGCUCUUCCAGAAACCCGGGGCGCCCACAGAAGAAUCUCUUACCUGGCUCUCUCUUCAGGGAUGACAUCAUCGGCUCACACCAGUCUUCCAGGACCACCUUCUGGAUGCCAAAGCUGCUGCUCGAGUACCUGCUGUGCACCUCUACCUCCUGGUACCCCAGCCACUCCCUCAAGUUGCCUGCAUGUUAUAUGGCCUAGCCAAGGAGCACGGAUUCCAGGAACCCACUACCAUACAGAGCAACUCCUUGUGGACCCCCCUGGGAUCAGGACAGCGAGGGACAAGCGACAAAGAGGAUCAUCAGUGGCCAGCUAGUUUCUCUGGGGUUCAAACCUUGAACCAGUGCCCUAGUGAGGGGGCACUGGCCAUGGCCCUUGACCUUUGCUCUGCUUGUGUCUUGAGUCUGAGCCCUUUCCUGUACAUCUGUGCUCGUGUUCAUCUGCUAGUGAACUGGAGUGCUGCCCUCCCCGAGGAGGGUCGUCCCUUGUGACUGAUCAUGCUGUCCUAACAAUGUCCUGAGCAAAAGGGUCCCUUUGGGAACCUCUCAGGAGGGGGACCCGGGUCAGGGGCGACCAGCAUCUUGCUGGCAACUCCGUGGGUGGGGUGGGGUGGGGUGCUUCCUUCUGGAAUGAGCACGUGGCUGACCCCCCAAGGCAUGUCCCCUCCCCCUCCUCCACCCACCUUCUCGGAGAUGUCCCUUUUGGGGUAGUGGGGACAUUAGGAGCAACCUCCUAGGGUUGUUGUGAGAAUUAAAUGAACUGCAGCAGCCUGAGGCAGGGCUGGGCAGAGACCUCA